rnacentral:tRNA from 1 species
GGAAGCGUGGCCGAGUGGUUGAAGGCGCACGACUCGAAAUCGUGUGGGCGCGCAAGUGUCUCGGAGGUUCGAAUCCUCUCGCUUCCGCCA